rnacentral:rRNA from 1 species
AAUCAACGCUGGCGGCGUGCCUCAGACAUGCAAGUCGAACGCGAAAGUCCCUCGGGGGACAAGUAGAGUGGCGCACGGGUGGAGUAACACGUAGGUAAUCUACCUUCGGAGUGGGAAGUAACAACCGGAAACGGUUGCUAAUACCGCAUAAUGCAGCGGCACCUAAUGGUGACAGUUGUUAAAGCGGGGGAGUCGAAAGACCCGCGUCUGAAGAGGAGCCUGCGGCGGAUUAG